rnacentral:rRNA from 1 species
UCAUUAAAUCAGCUAUGAUUCAUUGGAUCUGUACCCACACUUACUUGGAUAACUGUGGUAAUUCUAGAGCUAAUACAUGCACCACGUCUCUGACCGCAAGGGAAGAGCGCUUUUAUUAGUUCAAAACCGGUCGGGCCUCGGUCCGUCACCCCAUUGUGUUGAAUCUGAAUAACUUUGAGCUGAGCGCACGGUCUCCGCACCGGCGCCGCCUCUUUCAAGUGUCUGCCUUAUCAGCUUUCGAUUGUAGGUUAUACGCCUACAAUGGCUAUAACGGGUAACGGGGAAUCAGGGUUCGAUUCCGGAGAGGGAGCCUGAGAAACGGCUACCACAUCUAAGGAAGGCAGCAGGCACGCAAAUUACCCACUCCCGGCACGGGGAGGUAGUGACGAAAAAUAACGAUGCGAGACUCAUCCGAGGCCUCGCAAUCGGAAUGAGUACACUUUAAAUCCUUUAACGAGGAUCUAUUGGAGGGCAAGUCUGGUGCCAGCAGCCGCGGUAAUUCCAGCUCCAAUAGCGUAUAUUAAAGUUGUUGCGGUUAAAAAGCUCGUAGUUGGAUUUCAGUUCUGGACUGACGGUUCACCGCCCGGUGCACACUGUCACGCUCCGAACAGUUUUUAACCGCCCGCUGGCUCGCACGGGGUGCUCUUCAUCGAGUGUCCCGCGUGGCCGGCAGAGUUUACUUUGAAAAAAUUAGAGUGCUCAAAGCAGGCUACAUUGACGGCCUGAAUGCCUAUGCAUGGAAUAAUGGAAUAGGACCUCGGUUCUAUUUUGUUGGUUUUCUGAACCCGAGGUAAUGACUAAUAGGAACAGGCGGGGGCAUUCGUAUUGCGACGCUAGAGGUGAAAUUCUUGGACCGUCGCAAGACGAACUACUGCGAAAGCAUUUGCCAAGGAUGUUUUCAUUAAUCAAGAACGAAAGUUAGAGGUUCGAAGGCGAUCAGAUACCGCCCUAGUUCUAACCAUAAACGAUGCUGACCAGCGAUCCGCCGGCGUUAUUCCCAUGACCCGGCGGGCAGCUUCCGGGAAACCAAAGUCUUUGGGUUCCGGGGGAAGUAUGGUUGCAAAGCUGAAACUUAAAGGAAUUGACGGAAGGGCACCACCAGGAGUGGAGCCUGCGGCUUAAUUUGACUCAACACGGGGAACCUCACCAGGCCCAGACACCGGAAGGAUUGACAGAUUGAGAGCUCUUUCUCGAUUCGGUGGGUGGUGGUGCAUGGCCGUUCUUAGUUGGUGGAGCGAUUUGUCUGGUUAAUUCCGAUAACGAACGAGACUCUGGCCUACUAACUAGUCGACGGAUCUCCAGCAAUUGGUGUCCAGUUCGCAGCUUCUUCUUAGAGGGAUAAGCGGCAAUUCUAGCCGCACGAGAUUGAGCAAUAACAGGUCUGUGAUGCCCUUAGAUGUU